UACAUUAAGAAAAUUGGCUACAAC
rnacentral:piRNA from 1 species